UACAGAGGGGGCAAGCGUUAUUCGGAAUUAUUGGGCGUAAAGGGCGCGUAGGCGGCUCAGUAAGUCAGGUGUGAAAACUCCAGGCUCAACCUGGAGACGCCACCUGAUACUGCUGUGGCUAGAGUCCGGUAGGGGAGCAUGGAAUUCCUGGUGUAGCGGUGAAAUGCGCAGAUAUCAGGAGGAACACCAGUGGCGAAGGCGGUGCUCUGGGCCGGAACUGACGCUGAGGAGCGAAAGCGUGGGGAGCAAACAGG
rnacentral:rRNA from 1 species